GAUGAACGCUGGCGGCGUGCCUAAUACAUGCAAGUCGAGCGAACGGACGCGAAGCUUGCUUCUCUCUUGUUAGCGGCGCACGGGUGAGUAACACGUGGAUAACCUACCUAUAAGACUGGGAUAACUUCGGGAAACGGGCGCUUAUACCGGAUAAUAUUUUGAUCCGCAUGGUUCAAAAGUGAAAGACGGUCUUGCUGGCACGUAUAGAUGGAUCCGCGCUGCAUUAGCUAGUUGGGAAGGUAACUGCUUACCAAGGGAACGCUGCGUAGCCGACCUGAGAGGGUGACCGGCCACACUGGAACGGAGACGCGGUCCAGACUCCUGCGGGAGGCAGCAGUAGGGAACCUUCCGCAAUGGGCGAAAACCUGACGGAGCAACGCCGCGUGAGUGAUGAAGGUCUUCGGAUCGUAAAACUCUGUUAUUAGGGAAGAACAUAUGUGUAAGUAACUGUGCCCAUCUUGACGGUACCUAAUCAAAAAGCCACGGCUAACUACGUG
rnacentral:rRNA from 1 species